ensembl:snRNA U6 U6 spliceosomal RNA
UCCCGUAGAAACCGUGGCAAUAUCCUAAAGUGGAAAUGAUAGAGAAGAUUAGCAUGACCCCUGCAAGGAGACGUGCAAAUUCAUGAAGUGAUCCAUAUUUUU